GGUUAAGCGACUAAGCGUACACGGUGGAUGCCCUGGCAGUCAGAGGCGAUGAAGGACGUGCUAAUCUGCGAUAAGCGCCGGUAAGGUGAUAUGAACCGUUAUAACCGGCGAUUUCCGAAUGGGGAAACCCAGUGUGACUCGUCACACUAUCAUUAACUGAAUCCAUAGGUUAAUGAGGCGAACCGGGGGAACUGAAACAUCUAAGUACCCCGAGGAAAAGAAAUCAACCGAGAUUCCCCCAGUAGCGGCGAGCGAACGGGGAGGAGCCCAGAGCCUGAAUCAGCAUGUGUGUUAGUGGAAGCGUCUGGAAAGGCGCGCGAUACAGGGUGACAGCCCCGUACACAAAAGCGCAUGUGCUGUGAGCUCGAUGAGUAGGGCGGGACACGUGGUAUCCUGUCUGAAUAUGGGGGGACCAUCCUCCAAGGCUAAAUACUCCUGACUGACCGAUAGUGAACCAGUACCGUGAGGGAAAGGCGAAAAGAACCCCGGCGAGGGGAGUGAAAAAGAACCUGAAACCGUGUACGUACAAGCAGUGGGAGCCCCACCACUAAGCCAGUGGUGAACUCCACAUACGCAUCC
rnacentral:rRNA from 1 species